AAGGUACUCCCUCCGUUCCAAAUUACUCGUCGCAAAAAUGGAUGUAUCUAGAACUAAAAUACAUCUAGAUACAUCCAUUUCUGCGACGAGUAAUUCGGAACGGAGGGAGUAUGUG
rnacentral:pre_miRNA from 1 species